CCUACGGGAGGCAGCAGUGGGGAAUCUUUCAAAAAUGGGCGAAAGCCUGAUCCAGCCAUGCCGCGUGUGUGAAGAAGGUCUUCGGAUUGUAAAGCACUUUAAGUUGGGAGGAAGGGUUGUAGAUUAAUACUCUGCAAUUUUGACGUUACCGACAGAAUAAGCACCGGCUAACUCUGUGCCAGCAGCCGCGGUAAU
rnacentral:rRNA from 1 species